rnacentral:rRNA from 1 species
UGGAUCUCAAAUCAGGUAGGAGCUACCCCGCGACUA